ACAGCUCCAACUUACACACAAAGAGGCCAAAGUAGCACCUGCAGGCACACGAUCUCACAGCAAGUCAACGCCCUUUAUCAACUUUCUCAGCAGAGCCAAUAGUAGCCACUGCCUACCGGAUGCCUCCUAUUUGCUGGCAUACAAAACCUUCCCCUCUACAACAGACCUGUGUGUUCCAUUUUGUUCUGAUCGCGAACAUCAGGAAGGUGGCGAAGGAGCCUGCCCUGGGAUUCAAGCCAGCUCUGCUGGUCUCUUAUGCAUUGUUGGUAGAUGGCCAGAAGAGUGGUGGACACAGCAGGCUGCCCAGCCCUUCCAAGAGGGAGCCCGCGGAGCAGACGUCAGUGUGUGCCCCACCUGGGCCAUGGCGGGGCAGGUGAAACCAAAUUCAAAGGCAUCCGGAGGGCAACAGAGGGGAGAGGUUACCCAAAGCAGGCUCCAGAACUCACGACCCUGAGAUCAAGACCUGAGCUGAGAUGGAGUCUGACGCUUAACCGACUGAGCCACCCAGGCGCUCCUUGUUGCUGAUGUUCUUAAUGAGAUUGAAGGAUCAGUGAUCACAACCUUCUUCUCAGUGGCGGAGCUUCCCAGAGAUGCUCCUCACUGACGGGAAAGGGGAAGGAGACCGAGACUGCAGGGCACAGAGCAUGUGGGAACUAACUUCCGGCACUCGGAUGAGGGCGGAGGUGGGCUGCAGGAAGGCGAAGGUGCAGGUCCCGGGCUACACCCCUCAGCUGGCUGUGCAUCGGGAUCCUUUCUGAGAGACCCUCCUUACGUACGUACUCGGGAGCCUUGCACAGGCAGAAGCUCCUUCCUUGCUGCUGCUGCGGUGCCAUCAGGCCUUUUCAGCAGGAGUUACGCUUUAGGGAGUCCCCUCCCACCGGCCACAGGGCGGGCGCAGGCCAGAAACCAGAGAGGCUUUUCUUGACCAGAAAUCAGGCCCGGGCUCUCCCAGAGGUGGAACUGUAGAAGCGGCAGCUACUUGUCUCGGCACGCCUCUAACAGUGAUUCCUGACUAGGUUUUCCUAGUCGGGCCCAGAUGGGAGGAUACGGUGCACAGGAGCCUUAAGGUUCUCCUGGGUGGAGCACAGAGACCGUGGUGAAAGCUCUUGUGUCCUCCACACGCCCUAUCCAGACAUGCCCCUCUCCUCUGCGCUUUGGCUCACGCUGUCCCACACCAGGGGCACCUUCCUCCUUCCUUUCUAGCCACCCAUCCCUGAGGACCGACUCAGGGUGUAAGUGUUUCAUGAAGCAUUCAUUAAUUACUCCUGCCCACUCUUCUCUCUUCUUGCUCUAAAAUUCUAGAGCACGGCUCUCACCUGGGGCGACGGUGGGGGGCAACUGUGUUCCCAGGAGAUGCCCAAAGACGUCUUUCAUUGUCACAACUUUUGGAGAGUGCUACCGGCAUUGAGUGAGUAGGGACCAGGGAUGCUGCUAAACAUCUUGCGAUGCACAGGGCAGUGCCCCGCCUGCGCGAACACGGCCCAGGUUGAGGAACUCUGAUUUAGAGGAGUAAGAACUGACACACGGCAAGCACACCAUUUAGACCUCUGGGGUUUCCUCUCCUCUCCUUUAAGUCUCUUAUUGUACUACGUGUGAAAAUCCCGUCUCCCCCAAAAGGCUGCGAGCUCAAGUACGGUGCCGCACGGUCAGUUCCAUCCCCAGGAAAGGCAGCCAGCUGUGGUGCAGUGGUGAGGGCUCUGGGUUCACAAGCUGACAGACGGAGAGGCGGGCAUUCCAAACAACGGAUUCUGCCAUGUUAGUGCAACGCCUAGCUGUUGAAUUUCAGCCCUGUGUAAAGCUGAAACGGUUUGUGGGGGCAUUCAGGCCUUGCUUGGGAAGACUUGGCUAGUCCUGGAGUGUCUCUUGGGCUCUAAUGUCUUUUUCCUAGAAGAUUCUUGAGACAUCCCAUUAUCCACCAACCACCAUGAUCUGUUAACUUCGUGAGCUCAUGCUUGACAUGAUGUUUAUUUUAGCUCUUUGCCCCUAGAUAGGGCUCCUCAUCCUUCACAGCUGGUUAUCAGAGAUCAACUCUUCAGGUGACAGAUGGUGCUAUCCCCAGGAGCCCCAAAGACGUGCACAUGUUGCACAAGAGGUGGGGUGGCGUCAGAAGUAGCAAUGGGUAACCACUGUGCACUUACCUGAAGCUUCUCAAUCAGAGGCGAACUCUUCACCUUGAUUUUAGGAGGGUGGCUUGCAUUGGGCGGUGAUUUCUACAGAGCAAAUGGACCAAAACCACGGAAUCAGUGAGGUGAAGGGAGGUGGGGUUCUGGCUGGAGCCCCAAAGGCCCAGGUGAAAGAAGAGGAGAAGUUGAUUUCACCGCUUUCCCGCUUAGCUUUCAGCAGCCCACCCACCUGGUCAGGGCCUGGGCCUGGCUGGGCUCCCCACCACCCCUCCCUCGUCUCACAGGUAUAAGACCACUUGAAUCUAUGAAAUCAGAGCAGGCUGGACAGACAUCUGAAACACAGGCGGCCUCCUGUUCCAGAAAGGAUGACUUCAUGGUCAUUAUGAGACAACAGACUAUGUCUGAGGGGAUGCGAUCUUCACCUCCUGACCUUCAACAACAUGAGCCAAUGACGGGAGGGAAUUCCAGAGAGACAGGGCAAAAUGACUACUUGUUCUGUUUGUACAAACAACAGAAGACACCACAGACCAAAGGUGAAAGCUUACAGAGGUUUAACUGAAAUUUCUCCCUUGAACUAAUGAUAUUUUGGAAAAGUCAAACCACCAAUAGUGUUAUUUAUAGAUUAUCAUUUUCCAAAACAUCGUUCAUUUCGAUUAAGCAGACAUUUACCGAGUAUCUACUACAUUCCCAGCAUUGUCUUGCCUGGUUAUACGACGAUGAACACGAUAUGGUCUCUGGCUUCUAGAAGCGAUCAAUGGCUGAUACAUACAUAUAAAACCAUACAUAUGGAGGCACCUUGGUGACUCAGCUGGUUAAGUGUCCGACUUCAGCUCAGGUCAUGAUCUCAUAGCUUGUGGGUUCGAGCCCCACAUCGGGCUCUGUGCUGACAGCUCAGAGCCUGGAGCCUGCUUCAGAUUCUGUGUCUUCCUCCCUCUCUGUCCCUCCCCCACUCGUGCUCUGACUCUCUUGGUCUCUCAACAAUAAACGUUGAAAGAAAUUUAAAAAUAAAAAACAAAA